rnacentral:rRNA from 1 species
AACGAACGCUGGCGGCAUGCCUAACACAUGCAAGUCGAACGAGACCUUCGGGUCUAGUGGCGCACGGGUGCGUAACGCGUGGGAACCUGCCCUUAGGUUCGGAAUAACUCCCCGAAAGGGGUGCUAAUACCGGAUAAUGUCUUCGGACCAAAGAUUUAUCGCCUUUGGAUGGGCCCGCGUUGGAUUAGCUAGUUGGUAGGGUAAAAGCCUACCAAGGCGACGAUCCAUAGCUGGUCUGAGAGGAUAAUCAGCCACACUGGGACUGAGACACGGCCCAGACUCCUACGGGAGGCAGCAGUGGGGAAUAUUGGACAAUGGGCGAAAGCCUGAUCCAGCAAUGCCGCGUGAGUGAUGAAGGCCUUAGGGUUGUAAAGCUCUUUUACCCGGGAUGAUAAUGACAGUACCGGGAGAAUAAGCUCCGGCUAACUCCGUG